UCCCUGAUGGUCCAGUGGCUAAGACGCUGCACUCCCAGUGUAGGGGGCCUGGGUUCGAUCCCUGAUCAGGGAA
rnacentral:tRNA from 1 species